AUUGAACGCUGGCGGCAGGCCUAACACAUGCAAGUCGAGCGGAUGAAGGGAGCUUGCUCCUGGAUUCAGCGGCGGACGGGUGAGUAAUGCCUAGGAAUCUGCCUGGUAGUGGGGGAUAACGUCCGGAAACGGGCGCUAAUACCGCAUACGUCCUGAGGGAGAAAGUGGGGGAUCUUCGGACCUCACGCUAUCAGAUGAGCCUAGGUCGGAUUAGCUAGUUGGUGGGGUAAAGGCCUACCAAGGCGACGAUCCGUAACUGGUCUGAGAGGAUGAUCAGUCACACUGGAACUGAGACAGCGUCCAGAGUCCUAAGGGAGGCAGCAGUGGGGAAUAUUGGACAAUGGGCGAAAGCCUGAUCCAGCCAUGCCGAGUGUGUGAAGAAGGUCUUCGGAUUGUAAAGCACUUUAAGUUGGGAGGAAGGGCAGUAAGUUAAUACCUUGCUGUUUUGACGUUACCAACAGAAUAAGCACCGGCUAACUUCGUG
rnacentral:rRNA from 1 species